AUUGAACGCUGGCGGCAGGCCUAACACAUGCAAGUCGAGCGGAUGAAGGGAGCUUGCUCCCUGAUUCAGCGGCGGACGGGUGAGUAAUGCCUAGGAAUCUGCCUGGUGGUGGGGGACAACGUUUCGAAAGGAACGCUAAUACCGCAUACGUCCUACGGGAGAAAGCAGGGGACCUUCGGGCCUUGCGCUAUCAGAUGAGCCUAGGUCGGAUUAGCUAGUUGGUGAGGUAAUGGCUCACCAAGGCGACGAUCCGUAACUGGUCUGAGAGGAUGAUCAGUCACACUGGAACUGAGACACGGUCCAGACUCCUACGGGAGGCAGCAGUGGGGAAUAUUGGACAAUGGGCGAAAGCCUGAUCCAGCCAUGCCGCGUGUGUGAAGAAGGUCUUCGGAUUGUAAAGCACUUUAAGUUGGGAGGAAGGGUUGCUGAUUAAUACUCUGCAAUUUUGACGUUACCGACAGGAUAAGCACCGGCUAACUCUGUGCCAGCCGCCGCAGUAAGAC
rnacentral:rRNA from 1 species